rnacentral:rRNA from 1 species
CCUAGGGGCGGCUGCAGUGGGGAAUAUUGGACAAUGGGCGAAAGCCUGAUCCAGCCAUGCCGCGUGUGUGAAGAAGGCCUUCGGGUUGUAAAGCACUUUCAGUGGGGAAGAAAGCCUUGGGGCUAAUACCCUCGAGGAAGGACAUCACCCACAGAAGAAGCACCGGCUAACUCCGUGCCAGCAGCCGCGGUAAUACGGAGGGUGCGAGCGUUAAUCGGAAUUACUGGGCGUAAAGCGCGCGUAGGCGGUCUGAUAAGCCGGUUGUGAAAGCCCCGGGCUCAACCUGGGAACGGCAUCCGGAACUGUCAGGCUAGAGUGCAGGAGAGGAAGGUAGAAUUCCCGGUGUAGCGGUGAAAUGCGUAGAGAUCGGGAGGAAUACCAGUGGCGAAGGCGGCCUUCUGGACUGACACUGACGCUGAGGUGCGAAAGCGUGGGUAGCAAACAGGACUAGAUACCCCAGUAGUC